GCCAGCAUCCAUAUCACUCUGCAACUCAAAAAUGGCAGUCCACUGAAGCUCAGCAGGUGUGAGCCUGGUCAGUACCUGGAUGGGAGACCUCCUGGGAAAAACUAAGGUGGCUGUUGGAA
rnacentral:rRNA from 1 species